rnacentral:rRNA from 1 species
GUUGAACGCUGGCGGCAGGCCUAACACAUGCAAGUCGAGCGGGGUUUUCGGACCUAGCGGCGGACGGGUGAGUAAUGCGUAGGAAGCUGCCCGAUAGAGGGGGAUACCAGUUGGAAACGACUGUUAAUACCGCAUAAUGUCUACGGACCAAAGUGUGGGACCUUCGGGCCACAUGCUAUCGGAUGCGCCUACGUGGGAUUAGCUAGUUGGUGAGGUAAUGGCUCACCAAGGCGACGAUCUCUAGCUGGUUUGAGAGGAUGAUCAGCCACACUGGAACUGAGACACGGUCCAGACUCCUACGGGAGGCAGCAGUGGGGAAUAUUGGACAAUGGGGGCAACCCUGAUCCAGCCAUUCCGCGUGAGUGAAGAAGGCCUUCGGGUUGUAAAGCUCUUUCGGCAGGAACGAAACGGCGAGCUCUAACAUAGCUUGCUAAUGACGGUACCUGAAGAAGAAGCACUGGCUAACUACGUGCCAGCCGCCGCAGUAAAAC